ensembl:lncRNA
GUGACUCUAUAGAUGCCCUAGAGGACGACGACCUCAUGACCUACUUUUCUACCAGACGCCCAUGCCAUUUGCCAGUGAAAGAGUCUUACUGCUGUGAAGAUCGCUUUUCACCAUCAUUGUCUCCACAGCAACUGCACAGCAAAGAUUCUCCUUCCCAAAGUGACCUGUGCUCCUCUGAUUCCCACUGUGAGCCUGAUAUUGACCAAUUCUUUUGCUUUCCUGCACUCUCAAAUAUUGCUGAAUGUCUACCUAGUCCCCCUGCAGCCAGUGAAGAGGAGGAUUGUGAGGAAUUAGGAACAGAGAAUGAAAAACAUGAAAAGAGGUCACCUGCAAAAUGUCCUGGGAGCAGCCUACCUCCUUCUGGAGACUACGUGUUCACAUUUGAACAAGGAGACACCAGACAUUAUUACAAUAUCUGCUCCAAUGUUACCCCUGACAGUGCCCGGAGCCUUCCAAGACCUCUCUCUCCUCCAGGUCCUGUGGAAACACAACCAGAUCAGGAAAGAGAGAAAGUGAAUCAGACAGAAACAGUGCCAAUCUUUCAACCCCCACCAGGGUUUGGAGAUAGCAGUUCAGAUGACGAGUUCUUUGAUGCACAGGAAAGAUUCACAUCUCCUGAAGAACCCUGCUCAACUGGCAUGACAAGAGAAAAUUCUGCAGAGUCAAGCACCAUAUUACAGACACUAAGCCUGAGGGGGACUGACAUCUGUGCAAGUGAACAAGAGGCAGUGGAUCUAGAGAGGAAAGAAAAGGAAGAAGGAAAAAUGGUUACUCAAGUUGAAUCAUCAUAUUUCAACAAAAGAUCCAAAAAGCGUCGCUCAUUCAUGGAAACAAACUACACAUCCCUGGUAUCAUUCCCAGAACAGGAUAAUUUAGGUAACAGCUAUGGAAAUAGCAUCCCAAGCUAUGGAUCUAUAUCAUUCAACCAAGGUGCUGCCCGAAUGGCAUGUUUUGAUGGUGGAUGCUCAGAUCAAGGUCCAUGUCCUACAGUCUUAUCCCUAACCCAUUCUGAAGGAGAACCAGCGCAAAUGGAAUCCAAACCCAUCAACCCAUCCAAAGUCAAUGGAUCAGGACCACAUAAUCCUACUAAUACAAACUCAAACAAAGUAUAUCAGCGGAAACAGCAACUUAUA